UGGGGAAUAUUGGGCAAUGGGCGCAAGCCUGACCCAGCAACGCCGCGUGAGGGAAGAAGGCUUUCGGGUUGUAAACCUCUGUCCUUGGUGACGAAAAAAAUGACGGUAGCCAAGGAGGAAGCCCCGGCUAACUACGUGCCAGCAGCCGCGGUAAUACGUAGGGGGCGAGCGUUGUCCGGAAGUACUGGGCGUAAAGGGUGCGUAGGUGGCCUUUUAAGGUGGAUGUGAAAUCCCUGGGCUUAACUUGGGGGGUGCAUCUAAUACUGGAGGGCUAGAGUGCAGGAGAGGAAAGCGGAAUUCCUAGUGGAGCGGUGAAAUGCGUAGAUAUUAGGAGGAACACCAGUGGCGAAGGCGGCUUUCUGGACUGUAACUGACACUGAGGCACGAAAGCGUGGGGAGCAAACA
rnacentral:rRNA from 1 species